rnacentral:misc_RNA from 1 species
AAGUCGUAACAAGGUCUCCGUAGGUGAACCUGCGGAGGGAUCAUCAAAGGAAUUUAUUUUAAAAACCCCAAGUGUUAGGGAAGGGAAAAGGAGGGGAAAGGAAAGAUAGCAUUGCUAUUUUUUUCCUUCUUUCUUUUUCUUAAUACUUCAAACAAACGAUCACAACUAAAAAGAGAGAGGGAGAGAGAGGAAAUUGAUUUGGUACCUUGGUUUUUUUUUGAGAAAAGUAAAAAAGUGCUUGCCUGAUAAUCUGAUUAUUGGAAAGAGAGAAAUAUUAUACAACUUUCAACAACGGAUCUCUUGGCUCUCA